UGUACCUACUACAGGCAAGUGAAAUGUGGGUGUGCACCAAUGUGCUGGUACAUGCAUAGAGAAUCGAAGACAAAAUAUUUAAGCUGACCCUCCUUCACAAUGUGGGCGAUACUCCUCAUCUUACUGUCCCUAAGUAGCUGCUUGUUUGAUCCUCCAAAAAAAAAA